AACGAACGCUGGCGGCAGGCCUAACACAUGCAAGUCGAGCGAGGACUUCGGUCCUAGCGGCGGACGGGUGAGUAACGCGUGGGAACGUGCCCUUUGCUUCGGAAUAGCCCUGGGAAACUGGGAGUAAUACCGGAUGAGCCCUUUGGGGGAAAGAUUUAUCGGCGAAGGAUCGGCCGCGUUGGAUUAGGUAGUUGGUGGGGUAAUGGCCUACCAAGCCGACGAUCCAUAGCUGGUUUGAGAGGAUGAUCAGCCACACUGGGACUGAGACACGGCCCAGACUCCUACGGGAGGCAGCAGUGGGGAAUCUUAGACAAUGGGGGAAACCCUGAUCUAGCCAUGCCGCGUGAGCGAUGAAGGCCUUAGGGUUGUAAAGCUCUUUCAGCUGGGAAGAUAAUGACGGUACCAGCAGAAGAAGCCCCGGCUAACUCCGUG
rnacentral:rRNA from 1 species